GCGUCAUGCUUAACACAUACAAGUCGGGUGGAAUUAGUGUUUCCUGUGGCAAAUGGGUGAGUAAUGCGUAAGAACAUGCCCUUGAGAGGGGAACAACGAGUGGAAAUGGUUGCUAAUACCCCCUCAUGCAGAAGAGUGAAAGAAGGAUUUCGUCUGAGGAAGGACUUGUGUCUGAUUAGCUAAUUGGUGAGGCAAUAGCUUAUUGAGAUCAUGAUCAAUAGGUAAUUCGAGAAAAUGAUCAACUACGCUAGGACUAAGAUAUGACCUAGACUCUUGUGAGAAGCAACAAUGGAAAUUUUUUUGCAAUGAGCGAAAGCCUAAUGGAGCAAUGUGGGGUGGAGAUAAAGGUUCAUGGGUCGUAGACUUCUUUUUUCGGAGAAGUAAUGACGGUAUUUGGAGAACAAGCAUCAACUAAUUCCGUGUCAGCAAUUGCAACAAGUUAAAUUAGGU
rnacentral:rRNA from 1 species